rnacentral:rRNA from 1 species
GGGUGAGUAACACGUGGGUGACCUACCUUCGAGUGGGGGAUAACCUUCCGAAAGGGGGGCUAAUACCGCAUAACAUCGAGCGGUGAUCAAAGCUGGGGGCGCUUGAUGAGGGGCCCGCGUCCGAUUAGCUUGUUGGUGAGGUAACGGCUCACCAAGGCUCCGAUCGGUAGCCGGCCUGAGAGGGCGGACGGCCACACUGGGACUGAGACACGGCCCAGACUUCUACGGAGGGCAGCAGUAAGGAAUUGUUCGCAAUGGGCGCAAGCCUGACGACGCAACGCCGCGUGGAGGACGAAGAUCUUCGGGUCGUAAACUCCUGUCGAGCGGGAAGAACACGGUACCGCUAGAGGAAGCCCCGGCUAACUCCGUGCCAGCAGCCGCGGUAAUACGGGGGGGGCAAGCGUUGUUCGGAUUUACUGGGCGUAAAGGGCUCGUAGGCGGCCUCUUAAGUCGGUUGUGAAAUCCCUCGGCUCAACCGGGGAA